rnacentral:rRNA from 1 species
CCGGCGCACGGGUGAGUAACACGUGUCCAACCUGCCGUCUACCCUUGGCCAGCCUUCUGAAAGGAAGAUUAAUCCAGGAUGGCAUCAUGAGUUCACAUGUCCGCAUGAUUAAAGGUAUUUUCCGGUAGACGAUGGGGAUGCGUUCCAUUAGAUAGUAGGCGGGGUAACGGCCCACCUAGUCAACGAUGGAUAGGGGUUCUGAGAGGAAGGUCCCCCACAUUGGAACUGAGACACGGUCCAA